AUUGAACGCUGGCGGCAUGCUUUACACAUGCAAGUCGAACGGUAACAGGCCGCAAGGUGCUGACGAGUGGCGCACGGGUGAGUAAUGCAUCGGAACGUGCCCAGUCGUGGGGGAUAACUACUCGAAAGAGUAGCUAAUACCGCAUACGAUCUAUGGAUGAAAGCGGGGGACCGUAAGGCCUCGCGCGAUUGGAGCGGCCGAUGUCAGAUUAGGUAGUUGGUGGGGUAAAGGCUCACCAAGCCAACGAUCUGUGGCUGGUCUGAGAGGACGACCAGCCACACUGGGACUGAGACACGGCCCAGACUCCUACGGGAGGCAGCAGUGGGGAAUUUUGGACAAUGGGCGCAAGCCUGAUCCAGCAAUGCCGCGUGCAGGAAGAAGGCCUUCGGGUUGUAAACUGCUUUUGUACGGAACGAAACGGCUCUGGUUAAUACCCGGGGCUAAUGACGGUACCGUAAGAAUAAGCACCGGCUAACUACGUG
rnacentral:rRNA from 1 species